GUGGGGAAUUUUGGACAAUGGGCGAAAGCCUGAUCCAGCAAUGCCGCGUGUGUGAAGAAGGCCUUCGGGUUGUAAACUGCUUUUGUACGGAACGAAAAGACUCUGGUUAAUACCUGGGGUCCAUGACGGUACCGUAAGAAUAAGCACCGGCUAACUACGUGCCAGCAGCCGCGGUAAUACGUAGGGUGCAAGCGUUAAUCGGAAUUAUUGGGCGUAAAGCGUGCGCAGGCGGUUUUGUAAGACAGAGGUGAAAUCCCCGGGCUCAACCUGGGAACUGCCUUUGUGACUGCAAGGCUAGAGUACGGCAGAGGGGGAUGGAAUUCCGCGUGUAGCAGUGAAAUGCGUAGAUAUGCGGAGGAACACCGAUGGCGAAGGCAAUCCCCUGGGCCUGUACUGACGCUCAUGCACGAAAGCGUGGGGAGCAAACAGGAUUAGAUACCCCGGUAGUCC
rnacentral:rRNA from 1 species